rnacentral:rRNA from 1 species
UACGUAGGUGGCAAGCGUUGUCCGGAAUUAUUGGGCGUAAAGCGCGCGCAGGUGGUUCCUUAAGUCUGAUGUGAAAGCCCACGGCUCAACCGUGGAGGGUCAUUGGAAACUGGGGAACUUGAGUGCAGGAGAGAAGAGUGGAAUUCCACGUGUAGCGGUGAAAUGCGUAGAGAUUUGGAGGAACACCAGUGGCGAAGGCGACUUUCUGGUCUGUAACUGACACUGAGGCGCGAAAGCGUGGGGAGCGAACAGG